GGGAAUGGCCAUAGUUCAGCAGUUAGAGCAUCUGCCCUGCAUGCAGAAGGUUCCAGGUUCAAUCCCAGGCAUCUCCA